rnacentral:rRNA from 1 species
AUGAGGAGUAAGACUUUGACACCUUCAUCUGGGGUUCAGGGUUCCCCCUUUAAGCCUGUAUUGAAGGGUAAAAGGGUUACCUACCAAGGUUCACGCGAGGAGAUCCAAGUUCAAGCUAAUGCAAGACCCAGAGCCCCUAUGGAUAAGAUCCCUAAGAUUCCUAGCUCAACACACGAUUCUGUGGCCAGAUUGGAUGGUACACUUUUCAGCAGUGGUGGAAAUGUUUCCGAAUCUCAGUAUGAGGGAACGAGCCUGAGGGAACUAAUUAAGCCCGCACGCCAAGCGAUGAGCAAGUUUGAGAAAAUGCAGUUGUUCAAGCAGAUCCUUGAUCAUGUAGACAAAUCCCACGCACAGGGUGUAACCUUACAGCAGUUGCGACCGUCGUAUUUUAUAAUAUCAUCCCCAAACCAAGUAAGGUAUAUCGGUUCUUACAGCAAACAAGAUUUAUCAACCCCAGCCAAACCGGAUAUGGCCGCAGAUGAUGUUUUUAACAGAAAACGAUGCUUCGAUCAGAAAACUUUGCACCAAGAGUGUAAUGGCAAUGGACAUUCAAUCCUGAAGUAUCAGAAGGUUGGUGAACAAGGUUCUGUUGCCGUCAGGCGACCGAUACAUCCCUUCCGGACUGACCACAAAGGGGGCAACCAAAGUGAAGGUGCUGAUCUAGGUGCUUUAGGACAGGGAAAUUCUAGUUGCACCGUCGGAGGUCGUUCUAAGUUUGGCGAACCUUACUAUGGCGGUAAUGCAUCUUAUGGCCAACGUUUUCCUAAUUAUGGCAACCAAGAAUCAGUACUUGAAUUGAGGAUGCUAGAAGAUAGCUGGUACAGAAGCCCGGAAGAGCUCAAUCAAUCGAAAGGCACAUUCCCAUCCAACAUCUACAGCCUUGGGGUUCUUUUAUUUGAGCUCUUUUGCUGCUGUGAAACAUGGGAGCUGCAUUGUGCUGCAAUGUCAGAUCUUCGCCACCGGAUCCUGCCUCCAAUUUUUCUUUCAGAAAGUCCCAAGGAGGCUGGCUUCUGCCUUUGGCUAUUGCAUCCGGAUCCUUUUUCUCGACCAAAAGCAAGAGACAUUCUAGGAUGUGACUUGAUAAAUGAGGGUCAGGAUUUGUCGGUGUUAGAUAAGGCGCCAGCUGCUAUCAAUGAGGAGGACACAGAGUCUGGUUUGUUACUGAAUUUUCUGUCUCAACUGAAAGAAGAAAAGGAGAUGCAUGCUGCCAAGUUAUCAGCAGAUCUUGCAAGCUUGCAGACUGAUAUUGUAGAGGCUGAGAGAAGACACUCGUUGAGGAUGGGGUUCAGUUUAGGGGACAUGGAUGUACCAGCAAGUUCUAAUGAUGUGCCAGGUACUUCAUCAAAUGCCCUGAGAGGGGCAUCGUUGUCAGGUUUGCUAACACCACCAGGCAGGUCAGGCAUAUACGAGGAGAGGGUGAUGAAGAAUUUGCAGCAGCUUGAAAAUGCAUAUUACUCCACGAGGUCCACCAUUGAAACAUCUGAGACUAAUGUAAUUAAGCGUUCCGAUAAUGAUGCUUUAAGGGUCCGUGAAAACUUUAACCACAGUGACGCCGAUGCUAUGAAUGGGCCAACAGACCGCCUUGGAUGCUUUUUUGAUGGUCUAUGCAAAUAUGCCCGGCAUAGUAGGUUUGAAGUACGAGGGAUUUUGAAGAAUGCUGAUAUACUUAACUCUCCAAAUGUGAUCUGCUCUUUGAGUUUUGACCGUGAUGAAGAAUAUUUUGCUGCUGCUGGGGUCUCAAAGAAAAUCAAAAUAUUCGAAUUUGAUGCUCUUUUAAAUGAUCAUGUUGAUAUUCAUUAUCCUAUAGUAGAGAUGCCUAGCAAGUCCAAGCUUAGUUGUGUCUGUUGGAACAACUAUAUAAAGAACUACUUGGCAUCAACAGACUAUGAUGGCACUGUUCAGCUAUGGGAUGCAAGCACUGGCCAAGGGUUCACACAGUUUACAGAGCAUCGGAAAAGAGCUUGGUCUGUGAGUUUCUCAGAGGUGGAUCCAACUAGAUUGGCAAGUGGGAGUGACGAUUGUUGCGUGAAAGUUUGGAAUAUUAACCAGAAAAAUAGCGUGGACACAAUCAGAAAUGUGGCCAACGUAUGCUGUGUACAGUUCUCGCCGUACUCCUCUCGUAUGUUAGCCUUUGGCUCAGCUGAUUACAAGACAUACUGUUAUGAUCUGAGGCAUACAAGGAUCCCCUGGUGUACCAUUUCUGGACAUGGGAAAGCUGUCAGCUAUGUAAGAUUCUUGGAUGCAGAAACGCUUAUAUCUGCGUCAACUGACAAUACCUUGAAGAUAUGGGAUCUCAACCGGACUAAUCCUAAUGGAUUAUCUACUAAUGCUUGCAGUCUGACAUUGAGUGGUCAUACCAACGAGAAGGUAUAA